rnacentral:rRNA from 1 species
GUGCCAGCAGCCGCGGUAAUACGUAGGGAGCAAGCGUUGUCCGGAAUUAUUGGGCGUAAAGGGUGCGUAGGCGGUUUUGUAAGUCAGAUGAGAAAUCCCCGGGCUUAACUCGGGAGUUGCAUUUGAAACUGCAGAACUUGAGUAAAGAAGAGGUAAGUGGAAUUCCUAGUGUAGCGGUGGAAUGCGUAGAUUUUAGGAGGAACACCAGUGGCGAAGGCGACUUACUGGUCUUUUACUGACGCUGAGGCACGAAAGCGUGGGGAGCAAACAGGAUUAGAAACCCCCGUAGUCC